AUCGUCUUCUAAGAUGUUGAGAUUCCUUUUGCUAUUAUCCAUAACGGUUACAGUGUUUUCCGCUCCUGACAGACGGCUCCUAGAACAAGGAAUGACUGGUAACUGCGCCAGUGGAGACCAAUGUAAUGGAUGUUCGGGAGUUCAGUUAGGUAGUGCCAAAUUUUGUUGUCACAGUUGUCACGGGGGAGUGUCCAUACAAAUCAACGAUGGCGGCGCUCAUUGCUCCUGCACAGUACCAGUUGUAUGAAAAAUAAAUCCAUGUCAACCCUUUCGUGUUGAUGAAUAAUAA